rnacentral:rRNA from 1 species
UACAGAGGUCUCAAGCGUUGUUCGGAUUCAUUGGGCGUAAAGGGUGCGUAGGCGGCGCGGUAAGUCGGGUGUGAAAUUUCGAGGCUUAACUUCGAAACUGCAUUCGAUACUGCCGUGCUUGAGGACUGGAGAGGAGACUGGAAUUUACGGUGUAGCGGUGAAAUGCGUAGAUAUGCGGAGGAACACCGAUGGCGAAGGCAAUCCCCUGGGCCUGCACUGACGCUCAUGCACGAAAGCGUGGGGAGCAAACAGG